rnacentral:rRNA from 1 species
UACGGGAGGCAGCAGUGGGGAAUAUUGCACAAUGGGCGCAAGCCUGAUGCAGCCAUGCCGCGUGUAUGAAAAAGGCCUUCGGGUUGUAAAGUACUUUCAGUCGUGAGGAAGGUGUUAAGGUUAAUAACCUUAGCAAUUGACGUUAGCGACAGAAGAAGCACCGGCUAACUCCGUGCCAGCAGCCGCGGUAAUACGGAGGGUGCGAGCGUUAAUCGGAAUUACUGGGCUAAAGGGCACGCAGGCGGUUAAUUAAGUUGGAUGUGAAAUCCCCGGGCUUAACCUGGGAAUGGCAUUCAAGACUGGUUAGCUAGAGUCUUGUAGAGGGGGUAGAAUUCCAUGUGUAGCGGUGAAAUGCGCAGAGAUGUGGAGGAAUACCGGUGGCGAAGGCGGCCCCUGGACAAAGACUGACGCUCAUGUGCGAAAGCGUGGGGAGCAAAC